GCAAGCUCUCAUUUGUACACGUAAUUGGUUGCAUGAUUUUAAGGAAAUCGGACCUUCUGAUAUACCAGAAGUCGAGGAGAUACCAUUGUAUGAAAAAUCAAGUGUUCAAGAAGAGACUCAGGCCGAGAAGUUAUUUAAUUUAUAAUUUACGUUAUGCAUUUUAAAUUGUUAGGUUAAAAGUUUAGUUUGUGAUGUAAGCUUGAAAUUUAUUAGCUUUGAGGGUGCACUUUGUGAAUUUAUUAUCUCUUGACUUUUGCGUGGAUAUUUUGCAUUAUUUAUUAUCUCAUAAAAUCAUGAUACCCAUUUUAUUUUAUGGAUACUAAUUUGUGUGUCAUUCAUACAUUU